rnacentral:rRNA from 1 species
CCGAAUUGUAAUUUGUAGAGGAUGCUUUUGGUGCGGUACCUUCCGAGUUCCCUGGAACGGGACGCCUUAGAGGGUGAGAGCCCCGUACGGUUGGAUGCCUAGCCUCUGUAAAGCUCCUUCGACGAGUCGAGUAGUUUGGGAAUGCUGCUCUAAAUGGGAGGUAAAUUUCUUCUAAAGCUAAAUACCGGCCAGAGACCGAUAGCGCACAAGUAGAGUGAUCGAAAGAUGAAAAGCACUUUGAAAAGAGGGUUAAAUAGUACGUGAAAUUGUUGAAAGGGAAGCGCUUAUGACCAGACUUUUGCCUUGCGGAUCAUCCGGUGUUCUCACCGGUGCACUUCGCUUGGUUAAGGCCAGCGUCGAUUUUAGUAGGGGGAUAA